GACGAACGCUGGCGGCGUGCUUAACACAUGCAAGUCGAACGCUGAAGCCCGCGCUUGCGUGGGUGGAUGAGUGGCGAACGGGUGAGUAACACGUGAGUAACCUGCCCCUGACUGUGGGAUAAGCCCGGGAAACUGGGUCUAAUACCGCAUACGACAUCCUGCCGCAUGGUGGGGUGUGGAAAGGUUUUUUCCGGUUGGGGAUGGGCUCGCGGCCUAUCAGUUUGUUGGUGGGGUGAUGGCCUACCAAGACGACGACGGGUAGCCGGCCUGAGAGGGCGACCGGCCACACUGGGACUGAGACACGGCCCAGACUCCUACGGGAGGCAGCAGUGGGGAAUAUUGCACAAUGGGGGAAACCCUGAUGCAGCGACGCCGCGUGAGGGAUGACGGCCUUCGGGUUGUAAACCUCUUUCAGCAGGGAAGAAGCCCCCUCGGGGGUGACGGUACCUGCAGAAGAAGUACCGGCUAACUACGUGCCAGCCGCCGCAGUA
rnacentral:rRNA from 1 species